rnacentral:hammerhead_ribozyme from 1 species
AUCCAACUGACGAGUCUCAAAUAGGACGAAACGCGUGUCCUGGAU